CCCAUCAUGUUCACACCCAGCCAGCCUCAGUCCUGAGCUCUCAGUUGUCCGGAUUUAUCCUUCUCCGAUGAGAACUUGCUUCUGGAGGCCACACGGGGGCGCUGCAGGAGAGCACAGAGGCAGAGAGGCAGGGGUUCCUCCCACGCACUGCCCCCUGGUCAGCAACUGGGCUGUCUUCUCAGAUAGAGCCUCUCAGCUACUGCUCCUCUCUGUCACUCAGUCAGCAAGGCCAGUGCCAACUCACUGUACUAGGGACUCCUUUAGUUGAAUAGGUGCUGAGUUUGGAGAGAGCCCCUCUUGUCAUCUGGUCCCUCUGCUUCCAGGACCCAGGAGAAGCAGCCGUGCUGUGGGCUGUGGCCCUGCUGCUUCGAACUUUCCUGCCAGCUGGCGGUCAAACAUCUUCUGGUUUGGAAGGAGGAAUGAAGUCAGUCAUCAGGAAGCCUGGGUCAUAUGCAGUCAUCGGUUGGGUUGUGAUGUUCAUGAAGAGAACUACAUCCACUGGCUGGAGCAGCUGCCCAGGUCCUUGGAUACACAGGAAGUUUGCUCAGAGUGUUAACUGAUGGUUCCUGCUUGCUGUUUGCAGCCGCCAUGAACUGCGGCCCAGCCAUGCCCGCCUGCCUUGGAGCCAACUGAGUGUGGACUGAAACCUCUAAAAACUGUAAAAAAUAAACCUUUCCUUUCCCAACUUGGGCUUGAGGUAUUUCGUCUCAGUAAAAAGUAACUAAGACACUGAUCUAGGUGCAGGGCCCAGAAUGCUAUCUCCCUGCGGACACCUCAGGAGCCCCCUCCCCAUCCUGGCCCCCUACUCUAGUUUCC